UCUAUGUUCAGUUCUGCCCCCGUGAACGUGGAAAAGAACAUGCGUGUGUUGGGGGUAGGGAAUCCCUGCUCAUACCCUGCCAUAGAAACCCCUGGACAUGGAGGACAUGCUACUGACUGAGCCAGAACCGAAAUCACGACUUAAACGAGCAAACGCCUAUUUCCCAAAACGUCUAACGCGGCAGCUGCCUCUAUGCCUGACUGCCCGCUUAGCGCAAUGCAGAAAAAGGCUGAAUAUGCGAAAGAAUCGACAUUAUCAGAAAGCACGCAGCUGGGAGACUUCCAGUGGUCCUAAGAGAAUGGGCCAAAAAAAGAUCCAAUGAGUGGUGAUCCUCUGAGGCAAAAAAUGGCUUGUUAAUGGCAGAGGUCAGAGAAGAAUGGCCAGACUGGUUCAAGCUGAUGGAAAGGCAACAGUAACUCAAAUAACCACUCUUAACAACCAAGGUAUGCAAAAGACCAUCUCUGAAUGCACAACAUGCUGAACUUUGAAGCAGUCAUUCCUGUAGGAGCAGAAGACCACAUCGGGUGACCCUGUUAGCUAAGGACAGGAAACUGAGGCUACAGUGGGCACAGCCUCAAGAAAAUUGCGAUAUUCAGAUGGUAGGGUCAGAAUUUGACAUAAACAACAUGGAUCCACCCUGCCUGGUCUGGAUGGUGCCCCGGGUGGACACUGUCUUGAGCUGGAGUGCUGGUUCAGUCCCAUGGAAGCGUGACAUCAUAGAUGUGGCUUAUGAACUAUAGCAUCAUAAGUGCAACCUUCAAUCUGCCAGCUGACACAGACCUGCUCAGAAAGCUGACUCAUGGCUGGACUUUGACCAUGACCACAGUUUACAUCUUGCAGGCUUAUUUCUCUCUGUUUUCUAUGAUGUUAGCAUGGUGAGGCAGCCACUCAGCCUCCAGCAGUAUUCUUCUCCCUACUUGGGAAUUUUUGGUUCCUCUUCUCUGUUGCCUUCUGACCUUCUCUCUUCCCAUGUUCCUUUUUACCCUUUUUCAUAUACCAGUGUUCCCCAGCCCGGUCCUCGGUGGCCCCCGGACAGUCCACAUUUUUGCUCCCUCGCAGCUCCUGGCAGCAAAAACUUGGACUGUCUGGGGGUUCCUGAAGACUGGGUUGGGGGACACUGCCAUGCACCCUUGUAACAGGCUUUGGGGUACUGUUGUGAAAGGUGUUAUAUAAAAAUAAAAAUAAGGAAUACUAUAUCUAAAACAACACAUACUUAAUGUUAAAAACUAAUUUGUAUUACAAAUUAAUUUAUAUUUAAAAAUAUUUUUAAUAUUCAAGUGUGUCUUUAACCAUAAAUCUAAUAGACCUGCGUAAGCUUCUUUCUGUAUUUUGCAAAAAUGAAACUAAGAUCCUUUUAAGAUUUCAUGAAAAGUCUUUAUUUAACAUUUUUCAAUGCAAACCACCACAUUGGCGUGUCUGAUCAGAACUAUCCUCCCUUUUGUCAAAAUGUUUACUGUGCCUGGCUACAUGAAGCUCAGUCUGGGAAGAGCAGUCUAGUCCUACAGUAUAACUGUAUGCAUUGGAGAGUGACAUUCAUUUGUACAAAUAUUUUUUAAUUUGUAUAAAACAUUCUAUAAAUGUAUGAUCAUAAAUAAUGUAUGAUCUAUCAUUAAUAAAUCUAUCAUUCAUUAAAAAAAAAAAAAAUCUACCCAAAAUAACUAAAAAA